rnacentral:sRNA from 1 species
AAUACAAUGGAUAAGCAUUUAAAUUAUGGAUUAAGCGUUCAAAAAUAAAAGGAGUUACAACAAAUCAUAUAUAUGAAAGUUGGUCAACUCUCUCCAUAUGAGUGAUACAUCAUCACACCAAUGAGUGCUACAUGUCAUUCUAAAUUAAUAUCAUUAAAAAUAAUAAAACUUAGUGAUAAAAAAAUAAAAGUUUUACAUUGCAUUGAAUCAUCCAUUAAUCCCACUCUUAACUAAAUAUCUUCAUCUA